rnacentral:rRNA from 1 species
AGAGUUUGAUCCUGGCUCAGGAUGAACGCUGGCGGUCUGCUUAACACAUGCAAGUCGAACGGGAUCCUUCGGGAUUUAGUGGCGGACGGGUGAGUAACGCGUGAGAAUCUGCCCUUAGGUUGGGGACAACAGUUGGAAACGACUGCUAAUACCCAAUGUGCCGAGAGGUGAAAGGUUAACUGCCUGGGGAUGAGCUCGCGUCUGAUUAGCUAGUUGGAGUGGUAACGGCACACCAAGGCGACGAUCAGUAGCUGGUCUGAGAGGAUGAUCAGCCACACUGGGACUGAGACACGGCCCAGACUCCUACGGGAGGCAGCAGUGGGGAAUUUUCCGCGAUGGGCGAAAGCCUGACGGAGCAAGACCGCGUGAGGGAGGAAGGCCUAUUGGUUGUAAACCUCUUUUGAUAGGGAAGAACACAAUGACGGUACCUAUCGAAUCAGCAUCGGCUAACUCCGUGCCAGCAGCCGCGGUAAUACGGAGGAUGCAAGCGUUAUCCGGAUUUAUUGGGCGUAAAGCGUCCGUAGGUGGCAAACCAAGUCAGUUGUUAAAGCGUAGAGCUUAACUCUAUAAGGGCAAUUGAAACUGGUUAGCUAGAGUGCGAUAGGGGCAAGGGGAAUUCCCAGUGUAGCGGUGAAAUGCGUAGAUAUUGGGAAGAACAUCGGUGGCGAAGGCGCCUUGCUGGGUCUGCACUGACACUGAGGGACGAAAGCUAGGGGAGCGAAAGGGAUUAGAUACCCCUGUAGUCCUAG